rnacentral:rRNA from 1 species
GACGAACGCUGGCGGCGUGCUUAACACAUGCAAGUCGAACGGUGAAGCGCCUUCCUUUUUGGUGGGUGUGGAUGAGUGGCGAACGGGUGAGUAACACGUGAGUAACCUGCCCCCUUCUUCUGGAUAACCGCAUGAAAGUGUGGCUAAUACGGGAUAUUCUGGGUCUGUCGCAUGAUGGGUCUGGGAAAGAUAUUGUUUCGGUGGGGGAUGGGCUCGCGGCCUAUCAGCUUGUUGGUGGGGUGAUGGCCUACCAAGGCGGUGACGGGUAGCCGGCCUGAGAGGGUGGACGGUCACACUGGGACUGAGGCACGGCCCAGACUGCUACGGGAGGCAGCAGUGGGGAAUAUUGCACAAUGGGCGCAAGCCUGAUGCAGCGACGCCGCGUGAGGGAUGGAGGCCUUCGGGUUGUGAACCUCUUUCGCCAGUGAAGCAGGCCUGCCUCGUUUGUGGGUGGGUUGACGGUAGCUGGAUAAGAAGCGCCGGCUAACUACGUG